GACGAACGCUGGCGGCGUGCUUAACACAUGCAAGUCGAACGGGUCUGCCCUGUUUUUUGCGGGGUGGGUCAGUGGCGAACGGGUGAGUAACACGUGAGUAACCUGCCCCUCACUUCUGGAUAACCGCUUGAAAGGGUGGCUAAUACGGGGUGUUCUGGCUGUGCCGCAUGGUGUGGCUGGGAAAGAUUCACUUUUGUGGUGUUUUGGUGGGGGAUGGGCUCGCGGCCUAUCAGCUGGUUGGUGGGGUGAUGGCCUGCCAAGGCUUUGACGGGUAGCCGGCCUGAGAGGGUGGGCGGUCACACUGGGACUGAGAUACGGCCCAGACUCCUGCGGGAGGCAGCAGUGGGGGGUAUUGCACAAUGGGCGGAAGCCUGAUGCAGCGACGUCGCGUGAGGGAUGGAGGCCUUCGGGUUGUGAACCUCUUUCGCCGGUGAAGAAGGUCCUGCUCUUUGUGGUGGGGUUGACGGUAGCCGGGUUAUGAAGCGCCGGCUAACUACGUG
rnacentral:rRNA from 1 species